rnacentral:miRNA from 2 species
UACCCUGUAACGUCCUGGGACU